GACGAACGCUGGCGGCGUGCUUAACACAUGCAAGUCGAACGGUAAGGCCCUUCGGGGUACACGAGUGGAGAACGGGUGAGUAACACGUGGGUGAUCUGCCCUGCACUUCGGGAUAAGCCUGGGAAACUGGGUCUAAUACCGGAUAGGACCACUGCCUGCAUGGGUGGUGGUGGAAAGCUUUUGCGGUGUGGGAUGGGCCCGCGGCCUAUCAGCUUGUUGGUGGGGUGAUGGCCUACCAAGGCGACGACGGGUAGCCGGCCUGAGAGGGUGACCGGCCACACUGGGACUGAGACACGGCCCAGACUCCUACGGGAGGCAGCAGUGGGGAAUAUUGCGCAAUGGGCGAAAGCCUGACGCAGCAACGCCGCGUGCGGGAUGACGGCCUUCGGGUUGUAAACCGCUUUCAGCAGGGAAGAAGCCGCAAGGUGACGGUACCUGCAGAAGAAGCACCGGCUAACUACGUGCCAGCAGCCGCAGUAA
rnacentral:rRNA from 1 species